UACGAAGGGUGCAAGCGUUACUCGGAAUUACUGGGCGUAAAGCGUGCGUAGGUGGUGAGUUAAGUCUGUCGUGAAAGCCCUGGGCUCAACCUGGGAAUUGCAUUGGAUACUGGCAGGCUAGAGUGCGGUAGAGGAUGGCGGAAUUCCCGGUGUAGCAGUGAAAUGCGUAGAGAUCGGGAGGAACAUCUGUGGCGAAGGCGGCCAUCUGGACCAGCACUGACACUGAGGCACGAAAGCGUGGGGAGCAAACAGG
rnacentral:rRNA from 1 species